rnacentral:lncRNA from 13 species
GGAGUCCCCAAGGAGCCACAUGCUGCUUGAAUUAUGUAAAGCUGUCACAUUGAGAGCAGCCCUGUGGAGAGGCCCACAUGGCCUGGAGCUGAGGGUGGCCUCUGGCCAAUGGCCCGUGAGGAACCAAAUUCUGCCAAUGAUCAUCUUCCUUCAUCACUGUCUCAUCACAUCAAAUAUGGCUGAAGUGGAACUGAUGGCCCCAUGCUACAUGACACCUUCCUUUCCCCAGAAGAUGACAGCAGCUUUUAAGACUGGAGACUCUGAGAAAGCCCCACCCAUCCUAGAGUGA